rnacentral:rRNA from 1 species
UACGGGGGGGGGCAAGCGUUGUUCGGAAUUACUGGGCGUAAAGGGCGCGUAGGCGGCCUGCUAAGUCGGACGUGAAAUCCCUCGACUCAACCGGGGAACUGCGUCCGAUACUGGCGAGGCUUGAAUCCGGGAGAGGGAUGUGGAAUUCCAGGUGUAGCGGUGAAAUGCGUAGAUAUCUGGAGGAACACCGGUGGCGAAGGCGGCAUCCUGGACCAAUACUGACACUGAGGAGCGAAAGCCAGGGGAGCAAACGGG